rnacentral:rRNA from 1 species
UAGGGAAUUUUGCGCAAUGGCCGAAAGCCUGACGCAGCAACGCCGCGUGAAGGAUGAAGGUUCUCGGAUUGUAAACUUCUGUUGAGUGGGAAGAAAAGCCCGUAAGGGUCUGACGGUACCACUUGAGUAAGCACCGGCUAACUACGUGCCAGCAGCCGCGGUAAUACGUAGGGUGCAAGCGUUGUUCGGAAUUACUGGGCGUAAAGGGAGUGUAGGCGGAGCCAUAAGUUAGAAGUUUAAUCUAUCGGCUUAACCGGUAGUCUGCUUUUAAUACUGUGGUUCUUGAGUAUGGGAGAGGGCGAUGGAAUUCCAGGUGUAGCGGUGGAAUGCGUAGAUAUCUGGAAGAACACCAGUAGCGAAGGCGGUCGCCUUGGCCCAAUACUGACGCUGAGGCUCGAAAGCUAGGGGAGCAAACA